GUCAUAUUAGAAAAAAAAAUUCUUUCCUUUUAUUCAAUGGUCUUGAUAAAUCGUCCCCUGGGUGUGAAUCUACUUGACAUUUUUCUAAUUAUUUUAAAACAACUCAACCAUCUCAAGUGUGAGAUCUUUUAGGUUAUAAUAUACGUCACGAAAAAAGAAAGAGCUUCUGCUAGAGAGAGACUACGCAUGGUUGCCACGAUCGACGUUGUUCAGCGUUAGCUGUGUGGGCACGUAUCGAUGCUCAGUCUACUCGUGUGUGCGUAAAGCGCGUUGGACUGUACUUUGGUAAAAGUUUGCGGUUUAACUGAAGCGCUCAGUGCAGCGGGAUCCUUGCGGUCAACCUGAGAAAUUUUGUCACUGCCGCUCUCGAUGUAACAACCUUAAGUUGGUGAAAGGAUUUAGUGAUGACGUUGCAGAAUAAACCAAUGAUAUUCCUUAUAAUCAUGAUAAUUAAAUUCCUUGUCAUUGUUAAUACUAUAGUGCAUUCAUUCAAAUAAUAAAAAAUGAAUUUAUGAAUAAAUAAUUCAGGAAAAACGCGAAUUUUCACAGAGGAGAGCAUUUACCCUCCACGGAGAUCUCAUGAUAAAACUUUCCAGUGCCUAAAUGGAAGUCGUCAGGUGUUGGCACACUUUUAGUACAAAAUUAGAAGUUUCCUCGAAGGGUUUCUACACAGAAAUUAUCCGACUUUCCUCUGCAAAGAAGAAAAAGAAUUUCACCAUCACUGGACAUUUGGUAUCAACCUCUGUGUAAAGGCCGUGCGUCACAACCGGCACAUCGCAUGGCCUUAAUACUCGCGACCUAUCGACGUGACCUGCGGCUAUACCUGCAAGAGGAGAAAAGGGUGUCUCAUCGAUACCACUGCGUGCGGGCACACUUAAAUUGAAAAAAAAUAAAAAACCCACGUUGAUACGACAAUGUUGGCCAACUGCAAUCUGCCAACAAAUUAUUUGAAAAAAAAAACUGAAGAAUUGAAAUAUCUCAUGAACUAAUCAAUCCAUUCAAAACUUUUUCAAUACCAACCAUUUCAUUGCCAAAGGGAAAAUGGCUGCCAAAUCUCAUGUUGAUGAAUAAAUUUUCGUAACGUUACCGUGCUAACCAACUUUUUUGACAACAGAAAAAUUGGAAUAUCUCGAAGGCUCAGUAAGAGCAAAGAUACAUAUUUUGAUUCAUUGAGAUAGAGUAUAAUAUUUAGUAUACAAAUAAAUGUAGCACCACAAUCAAUUACUUUAACUAGACCUCUUUAUUACAGGCACGAGGAAGGCACGACUGACCUAGAGGACCGGUGUCCAGAGAUUCAAUUCUUACUAUUUGAAAAACCUUUACUAAGGGAAAAAACAAGAGAACGUUUAUGACUCCAGAGGACAGAGUUUUCUUUGAAUAGAACAUAUGGCUAUUCUACAUUACUUCCCCGCAACAUUCGCAGUCCAUAAUUAUGAAAACAACCAUUUCAGUUCCCAGAAAAAUUCAAAAAACGGACGGUUACAAAGCUCCCAUUCAGAAGCAAUAACAGAAUAGAGAGAAAAGAGCCGACUUGAAACCACCACCUUGACAACGGCUGGCACAAUAUCCUCAAAGAUUUUUCCAACAUAUGUGUACACACCCGAAUACCCGCGACGUAGGGGAAAAGCCUCUUGUGCGACCGAGUGUCGUAUGACUCAUUGGCAGAGCUCUAUCGGUUAUAAACACGCCGCUAAACACAAUCUCCGUCUCUUUUUCUCCCCAUCAUCUUCACUAGGUACCGCUGGAUGAAUGCACCAAGUCGUUUGACACACCCUCGGGACAUUUAAGCAUCUCUUCCCCCCCCCCCCGGACGCCGCCUGCCAGCGUCACCACAUCGUCUUCUCUUUGCCCAGCGGGUGUAUACGCUCUGGCGCUCCGCAGGGAGCAGCUGCUUCUGCCUUUACACCGGGCGGUUCAUCUCCGAAUGUGCCCGUAGGUCAAACAGACAAGAAAUCAGUUGAAUAUGAGAAAACUAAAUGAUGUAUAACGAGCUUUGAUGUGGGACAGAGACCCAGUGAAACAUCAAUAUCAAUUGCUUUGAUUUUUUCUGCUCUUCAAGGUAUUUCACCGCAACUUUCAAAGAAGGGGGAGAGAAAUAGUCCGGAUAAGUUAUAGUAAUGUUUGGUAAUCGUGGUGAAAAUGUAUCGACUGCUCGGUAAAAAUUACUGACCGGUCGAAAUACAUUAAUUUUGCUCGAACCGUUGGUGUUUGUUAUUGGAUGAAGAAUCAAACGGUUGGAUCACGCGUUUAAUAAAAUGAAUACUCGAUCAUAUUUCGUAAUACGUGAUAUCUUUAUCUUUAUUCUUAAAACAUAAAAAACACACUUUCACAAUUGUUCUGAAUUUAUAAGUUGUGGAUUUAAGAAAUCGAAGGAACUUCACUGCUGAAUACAAUGACGGAACUAUUUGCAGCGCUUCGAUCAAGGCGGAAAUGGAAACCGAUUGGUUCCGUGUUGUUGCAAAGUUGGAGACUAAACUUGAACUAACUGAAACGAAAUAAGUAUUCGCACAUAAAAUGAUGAAUGGAGUGGGGGAAGUAUGGUCAUAAGAAACGAGGGCGGAUAAUCGGGUCUUACUUGGGCCGUAGGGUCUGCGGUAGAGUGAGCGGCCCUACUAAACACAUAACAAAUAAACGGCGGAAUUUCGGAUAGAUUAUAUAUUAAGAAAAUUUGGUUAAUCUUGGGGAAUUUCCGACGCUAUGACACCAUUGGUAUGAUCACUGGCUGAAGUCAGAGCAACACUAGAAAGUUUCAAGCUUGAAUCAGGCUUGAACUAGGCUUUCUACCGGGCUUGGGGUGACCUAUCAAAAUAGCGUUGGCCCUAGAUUGACAUCACCAUCGGUUGAAGCUAGACCCAUGGUAGGAAAUGCCAGGCUUGACAGUUCAGAGUCAACUACGCUUGACCCUAUUCUCAAUGUUUGGCAACUCCUACCAGGGAUGUAACAAUAAAGGCAAAAAAACAUUUUAUUAUGGAAUUUUUAACAAAUUAAAUUCAUUUGCUUCGAUUUAUUGGUAGCUAUUUCAAAAAAUUU